rnacentral:rRNA from 1 species
GAUGAACGCUGGCGGCGUGCCUAAUACAUGCAAGUCGAGCGAACAGACGAGGCGCUUGCCCCUCUGCCGCUAGCGGCGGACGGGUGAGUAACACGUGGAUACCCUAUCUAUAAGACUGGCAUAACUUCGCGAGACCGGAGCUCAUAUCCGAUCAUAUAUUGAACCGCAUGGUUCAAUAGAGCAAGCCGUAUUUGCUGUCCCUUAUAGAUGGUACCGAGCCGCAUUAGCUAGUUGGUAAGGUAACGGCUUACCAAGGCAACGAUGCGUAGCCGACCUGAGAGGGUGAUCGGCCACACUGGAACUGAGACACGGUCCAGACUCCUACGGGAGGCAGCAGUAGGGAAUCUUCCGCAAUGGGCGAAAGCCUGACGGAGCAACGCCGCGUGAGUGAUGAAGGUCUUCGGAUCGUAAAACUCUGUUAUUAGGGAGGAACAAAUGUGUGAGAAACUAUGCACGUCUUGACGGUACCUAAUCAGAAAGCCACGGCUAACUACGUG